rnacentral:rRNA from 1 species
UACAAGGUGCUGCAUGGUUGUCGUCAGCUCGUGCCGUGAGGUGUCGGGUUAAGUCCCAUAACGAGCGCAACCCUAUCAUUAGUUGCCAUCAGGUCAAGCUGGGGACUCUAAUGAAACUGCCUACGCAAGUAGUGAGGAAGGUGGGGAUGACGUCAAAUCAGCACGGCCCUUACGUCCAGGGCUACACACGUGCUACAAUGGCCGGUACAAAGGGCAGCUACCUGGUGACAGGAUGCAAAUCUCCAAAGUCGGUCUCAGUUCGGAUCGGAGUCUGCAACCCGACUCCGUGAAGUUGGAUUCGCUAGUAAUCGCGCAUCAGCCAUGGCGCGGUGAAUACGUUCCCGGGCCUU